AGUAAAGUUUUCUCUAUUGUGCAGGCUUCUAGAAUUGAAUCAUAAAGGAAUCUGAAGGCAUAGGAAUUUGAGGAAACAUAGAACUGAUUCAAAAGCUAAGCAGGGUAGCAAUAGAUUCCAGAAGACCUCGACUCAACCAACCAAUUUUAUGGCAACCCCUACAAAGCCAACUAAGUCAAUGGCAAUGCUUGGUGUGACCCCAAACCAACCAACUAGGUCAAUGAAAAUAUUUGGCGUGACCCUUACCCAACCAACUGAGUCUAUGGUAGCGCCUAGUGUGACCCAUAUCGAACCAAUUGACCAAUCUAUGGAAAUUCCUUGCGUGACCCAUAUUCAACCAAUUGAGCCUAUGGAAAUGCCUGGUUUGAUCCCAAUCCAACCAACUAGUUCUAUGACCAUGCCUGGUGUCACCCCUACCCAACAAACUUUGACUAUCGAAAUGCCUAGUGAGACACCUCCUUCUCUUGAGUUUAUGAAGCAGAGGUUGGAGAUGAUGGCAUCAA